rnacentral:rRNA from 1 species
CCCUGGUGGCGAGUGGCGAACGGGUGAGUAAUGCAUCGGAACGUGCCCAUCGAUGGGGGAUAACUGCGCGAAAGCGUUGCUAAUACCGCAUACGACCUACGGGUGAAAGCAGGGGACCGCAAGGCCUUGCGUCGAUGGAGCGGCCGAUGCCGGAUUAGCUAGUUGGUGAGGUAAAGGCUCACCAAGGCGACGAUCCCGUAGCUGGUCUGAGAGGACGACCAGCCACACUGGGACUGAGACACGGCCCAGACUCCUACGGGAGGCAGCAGUGGGGAAUCUUGGACAAUGGGCGAAAGCCUGAUCCAGCAAUGCCGCGUGUGGGAAGAAGGCCCUCGGGUUGUAAACCACUUUUGGCGGGAAAGAAAUGGUCUGUGCUAAUACCACGGAUUGAUGACGGUACCCGCAGAAUAAGCACCGGCUAACUACGUG